rnacentral:rRNA from 1 species
UGUUUCGGCUAGGGGGCCAUCCCGGCUUACCAACCCGAUGCAAACUGCGAAUACCGGAGAAUGUUAUCACGGGAGACACACGGCGGGUGCUAACGUCCGUCGUGAAGAGGGAAACAACCCAGACCGCCAGCUAAGGUCCCAAAGUCAUGGUUAAGUGGGAAACGAUGUGGGAAGGCCCAGACAGCCAGGAUGUUGGCUUAGAAGCAGCCAUCAUUUAAAGAAAGCGUAAUAGCUCACUGGUCGAGUCGGCCUGCGCGGAAGAUGUAACGGGGCUAAACCAUGCACCGAAGCUGCGGCAGCGACGCUGAUGCGUUGUUGGGUAGGGGAGCGUUCUGUAAGCCUGCGAAGGUGGCCUGUGAGGGUUGCUGGAGGUAUCAGAAGUGCGAAUGCUGACAUAAGUAACGAUAAAGCGGGUGAAAAGCCCGCUCGCCGGAAGACCAAGGGUUCCUGUCCAACGUUAAUCGGGGCAGGGUGAGUCGACCCCUAAGGCGAGGCCGAAAGGCGUAGUCGAUGGGAAACGGGUUAAUAUUCCCGUACUUGGUGUUACUGCGAAGGGGGGACGGAGAAGGCUA